rnacentral:lncRNA from 1 species
UUUUUGUCGACUUAUGCCUACUGAAAAAGGAUAAGCUUUUUUUUUUUGGUAGCUCUAAAUCGCCACACUUCUGCUCAAUAUGAAUGACCAGUCGUCCAAAAUUAGAGCGGUAUAACAAAUGCAAUGCAGCUGUGUAGCAACUUUUUGUGCCACCUUACUGCUCUUGAUUUAGCGGCAAUGAAAUCUCCCGCUUUCAGGUAAACUUCCAUAUAUGCAUGUCUAUUUAUUAAGGUAGCUUUACUUUACUUUGAUGUCACAAUUGUUUCAGUAGUCGUACUUUUGAGUUAUGUUUUGCGUAUUUCAUGCAGUAAGUACUGCCAACAUUUUCCACCUUCUCAAUGGGACUAAUAUUUAUUUUUUUACCUUAGGUAUGCUAUUACUCUUUUUGGGAACGCAAAAGCUUGGCUAGACUUUAA